CACUGCACCCAGCCAGAAAUGUUUGCUUUUGUUAUUAUUGCCACACAUAUGCCUCAUCUUGCUCAUUUAUUCCACAUGAAUAGGAUUUGUGUGCCAAUGAGAUGACAAGCUUCCUGUACCCUUUCCUCCCCAACACACACAGACACCCAGUCCAGCCUGGUGUGCUCAAGCAAGAGCAGCUCAGACCCUGCUCAGCCUUUUGCUUGUGAAGUAAGCUUGGGCAAAUUAUUAAACCCCUGCAAUCCGGCAUGGUCAUUUAUAAAAGGGAGCUAAGAAUAACCUGCUUCACAGAGUGGCAUAGAAUUUACAUGAAAUUUAGAUAAAGCUACUAGUAAAUAUCAGCAAAGCUCAGUGCCUGGCCUACUACAGGCACUUAAUGAACGUAUUAAUGAAUAUUUGUAGUAGGCACUGAAUGAAUGUUUGUUCUCCCCGGUACUGGGCAAACAACAGCUCAGUAAACACUUGGCAGCUUCAGGUCAGUCCUGAAGAGCAUGUGUUAAAGGGGGUGGUGGCAUCAAGUGACCAGCCCCACCCUCCACCGCUGGCCACACCUUCCCUAGUGACCACACUGAGAAAACACUUAGAUGGACCGAUGGGUGUGAAUCCCUUGAGAGCAAGGCUGCAUCUUCUCUCUUGCACUUGCCAGCAUCUGGCACAGCUGGGUAUUAAUCACACAAGACACAACUCCAGCGGUGGCGGCCCUGGAUGUCUGAAAUGCUGUCCAGAACAUUGAGAGAAAGCCAAAGAAGGAAAGCUGCCCUCAAACAUGCCCAGGAUCUUGCUGGAGAUGGAAACUAACAAGGAUGGAAACAUGACAGCAGAAAAAUACAGACCAGUUUGAAGUCUGCCCACCUGGGAGUCAAGCCACAUUGAAAAUCAAUAAGGCAUCAAGGCCGGGAGCUCGGAGAGCCGACUGGAUACCUGCGUGGGCCUCCUUUAAAGAGGUGAAAGCUUUGAAGUUGCAGACGACCAAUAAAAAUACAGCUGGCAUUUACAGCUUCAACUCCUCCUGCUUUUGCUUUUCACCGUGUUGCUAAAGCUGCCUACAAAGCUGCUCCAGGCCGGACUCUUGGCCCAGGUUGACAGAGCCCAUUCCCAUUCCAUGGACAAUAACAGGGGCUCUUGGUGUCCUCUGGCCAGGGAUUGGUGAUCAACUUUAGGCACGCUGGCAAUUUCCCAGGACAACCCCGUCUUAGGUUCUGAACAUCAGAGGCAAUGGCUAAGGUCCCCCAAAGCACUUUGGAAUGAGCCCAGGAAGUUGACCUUUGAAGCACUCUCCUGCUCUUGGGGCCAUGUCAUCAGGAAGAAACUCCAGGCUGAAAACACAACUGCAAGGCCAACAGGCAGGGGAGCAGCUUUCUCAGGACACCUGAGGUCCUGCCCCACCAGGCUCUGGUCUUUACACACCAUCUCUCACUGUCCUCUAGCCCCAACUGCACAUUGCCUUCCUCCUUCCUGAGCUCAUGCUUGCCCCUCCCUCGGCAUCUCCCUAGCCCCAGCCUGAAGGCUGACCUCCUCCAGAAAGCCUCUCCCUCACCACGAGGCCAGAAAGAGUCUGUCCUGUCUCUAGCUUCUGAGUUUCUUAGUCCCAACGACUGUCCCUGCUCCACUGACACCUUCCAUACACAGCUUUGUGAGCUGUGCGCAUCUGUGGGUACCAGAGGGUAAGUUCGAGGGCCAGCUGACGCCUACUGUCUCUACUGUCUCACAGAUCUGCAUUGGGUUUCCUUGGUCCCAAUCCCCCACAGACACACACACAUGUACACACUCACACACACAACGCUGGACCAAUAGAGAGAACUUUAUCAGUAAAAUGUAACUAUUUCAUUACA
rnacentral:lncRNA from 1 species